UUUUAUAUUUUUCAUUAAAAUUAUUUUUUAUAAAAAGUUUGAUUUUGGCUUAUAAAAUUGUGUUAUAUUUUUUUUACAUGUAAAUUUUUGUAUGAAAAUUUUUAAGUUUUUAAAAGAUUUAUUAAUUGUUGUUUAUUUAUUUUAUAAUUGCAGUAUUUAGAUUUAAUAAUUAAGGAAAUUUAGAAUUAUAAUUUAUAAUUAAUAUAAGUAAAAAAUGUGCCAGCAACUGCGGUUACACAUUUUAUAUAAGUAAUUUUUAUUUAUUUAUUAUAUAUUAUAUUAUUUUAAAUUUAUUGAUUUUUAUAUUACUAUAAGUUAGGUGAAAUUAUUUAUUUUAUUAGAUUAUUUAAAAAGUUUUUAUUAUAUAUAAUUAUUUUAUCUUAAUAAUAAACUAGGAUUAGAUACCCUAUUAUUUAUGAUUUAAAUUUAUUGUAGAGGAUUAAUAGGUAUGUUCUUUAAACUUAAAAAAAUUGGCGGUAUUUAAAUCUAAUUAGGGGAACUUGUCUUUUAAAUGAUAAUCCUCAAGUUACCUUACUUUAAUUAAAAAUUUAUUUAUUGCCGUUAUCAGAUUAUUUUAUUAGAAAUUAAAUUUUCUAAAAUAUUAAUAAAAUAUUUAUUUCAGGUCAUUAUGUAGUUUAUAUUAAAGUUAAGAUGAGUUACAAUAAAUUUAUAUUUAAACGGAUAUUAAUUUUAAAUAGUUAAUUAAAGGUGGACUUAAUAGUAAACAAAAAUUAAGAUUUUUUGUUGAAUUUAGAAUUAAAUAUGCACAUAUCGCCCGUCACUCUCGUUUUUAAGAUGAGAUAAGUCGUAACAAAGUAGAUGUAUUGGAAAAUGUAUCUAGAAAGUUAAAGUUAUUAAU
rnacentral:ncRNA from 1 species